rnacentral:rRNA from 1 species
UACGUAGGGGGCUAGCGUUGUCCGGAAUCAUUGGGCGUAAAGAGCGUGUAGGCGGUCCGGUACGUCCGCUGUGAAAGUCGGGGGCUCAACCCUCGAAUGCCGGUGGAUACUGUCGGGCUAGAGUGCGGAAGAGGCGAGUGGAAUUCCUGGUGUAGCGGUGAAAUGCGCAGAUAUCAGGAGGAACACCUAUUGCGAAGGCAGCUCGCUGGGACGUUACUGACGCUGAGACGCGAAAGCGUGGGGAGCAAACAGG